CACGUAGGGCGCAAGCGUUGUCCGGAAUUAUUGGGCGUAAAGAGCUCGUAGGCGGUCUGUUGCGUCCGCUGUGAAAACUCGGGGCUUAACCCCGAGCCUGCAGUGGAUACGGGCAGACUAGAGGUAGGUAGGGGAGAAUGGAAUUCCCGGUGUAGCGGUGAAAUGCGCAGAUAUCGGGAGGAACACCGGUCGCGAAGGCGGUUCUCUGGGCCUUACCUGACGCUGAGGAGCGAAAGCGUGGGGAGCGAACAGG
rnacentral:rRNA from 1 species